rnacentral:rRNA from 1 species
UACGUAGGGUGCGAGCGUUGUCCGGAAUUAUUGGGCGUAAAGAGCUCGUAGGCGGUCUGUCGCGUCGGCUGUGAAAACUCGGGGCUCAACCCCGAGCCUGCAGUCGAUACGGGCAGACUAGAGUGUGGUAGGGGAGACUGGAAUUCCUGGUGUAGCGGUGAAAUGCGCAGAUAUCAGGAGGAACACCGAUGGCGAAGGCAGGUCUCUGGGCCACUACUGACGCUGAGAAGCGAAAGCAUGGGGAGCGAACGGG